GUACCUAACACAUGCAAGUCGAACGAGAAGCCUGAUUUCGAUUAGGUGGAGAGUGGCGCACGGGUGAGUAACACAUGGCUGACCUGCCCUUCAGAGGGGGACAACGAGCGGAAACGGUGGCUAAUACCCCAUACGCUCGCCGUGAUUAGCAGGCGGUGAGGAAACCUUCGGGGCUGAGGGAGGGGGCUGUGGCCCAUCAGCUAGUUGGUAGGGUAACGGCCUACCAAGGCAAAGACGGGUAGGGGGCCUGAGAGGGUGACCCCCCACACGGGCACUGAGACACGGGCCCGACUUCUACGGAAGGCAGCAGUGAGGGAUAUUGCCCAAUGGACGGAAGUCUGAGGCAGCAACGCCGCGUGCGGGAUGAAGGCCUUCGGGUUGUAAACCGCUUUUCUGCGCGAAGAGGAAGGACGGUAGCGCAGGAAGAAGUCUCGGCUAACUACGUGCCAGCAGCCGCGGUAAAACGUAGGAGGCGAGCGUUAUCCGGAUUUACUGGGUGUAAAGCGCGUGCAGGCGGUCAUGUAAGUGGUGCGUGACAGCGCCCGGCUCAACCGGGCGAGGCCGUGCCAAACUGCGUGACUGGAGGCAGGUAGAGGCGCGUGGAACUCCGGGUGUAGUGGUGAAAUGCGUAGA
rnacentral:rRNA from 1 species